ACUGCUCAGUAACACGUGGAUAACCUGCCCUUGGGUCCGGCAUAACCCCGGGAAACUGGGGAUAAUUCCGGAUAACGCACAUAUGCUGGAAUGCUUUAUGCGUAAAAUGGAUUCGUCUGCCCAAGGAUGGGUCUGCGGCCUAUCAGGUAGUAGUGGGUGUAAUGUACCUACUAGCCAACAACGGGUACGGGUUGUGAGAGCAAGAGCCCGGAGAUGGAUUCUGAGACAUGAAUCCAGGCCCUACGGGGCGCAGCAGGCGCGAAAACUUUACAAUGCGGGAAACCGUGAUAAGGGGACACCGAGUGCCAGCAUCAUAUGCUGGCUGUCCAGGUGUGUAAAAUACACCUGUUAGCAAGGGCCGGGCAAGACCGGUGCCAGCCGCCGCGGUAACACCGGCGGCCCGAGUGGUGAUCGUGAUUAUUGGGUCUAAAGGGUCCGUAGCCGGUUUGGUCAGUCCUCCGGGAAAUCUGAUAGCUCAACUAUUAGGCUUUCGGGGGAUACUGCCAGACUUGGAACCGGGAGAGGUAAGAGGUACUACAGGGGUAGGAGUGAAAUCUUGUAAUCCCUGUGGGACCACCUGUGGCGAAGGCGUCUUACCAGAACGGGUUCGACGGUGAGGGACGAAAGCUGGGGGCACGAACCGGAUUAGAUACCCGGGUAGUCCCAGCCGUAAACGAUGCUCGCUAGGUGUCAGGCAUGGCGCGACCGUGUCUGGUGCCGCAGGGAAGCCGUGAAGCGAGCCACCUGGGAAGUACGGCCGCAAGGCUGAAACUUAAAGGAAUUGGCGGGGGAGCAC
rnacentral:rRNA from 1 species